CGCGGGAUGGAGCAGUUGGUAGCUCGUCGGGCUCAUAACCCGAAGGUCACAGGUUCAAGUCCUGUUCCCGCAA
rfam:Firmicutes bacterium MLFW-2 MLFW-2_Contig_15_85X, whole genome shotgun sequence.